AAAGGCUUAGGUUCAAACCCUAGACCAAAGGCCUUCAAAGCCUUAAGCAGGUGUAAAACCACCUAGCCUUUG
rnacentral:tRNA from 1 species